GCGGCGCGCCGCAGAGGCUGGGACGACUCGUGAGGGAAACAGGUUCCGCGGGUCCAGUCGUGCUCCCCGAAGGACACCAGCCCGAUGGAGAUGGUCUGCAGGAACGGCCGGAUGGCGGGCGUGAACUGUGGAGAGAUGCCGCUGUGUCACCCACUGCCCAGGAGGGACCGGAGGCAGGCAGGAGUGAGGGGCAGAGACACGAUUUGGGGGGAGACGUGGUCAUUCAACACACAUUUUGGGAGCUCCUGUGUGCCCGGCACCGCUCUAGGCGCCUUCAGGGAGCUGAUGUCAAAGGGAAGACCACCAGUAAGCAAAUAAAGCACAUGUUAUAUGAUGUUUAA